rnacentral:rRNA from 1 species
UACGGAGGAUGCGAGCGUUAUCCGGAUUUAUUGGGUUUAAAGGGUGCGCAGGCGGAAUGUCAAGUCAGCGGUAAAAUUUCGGGGCUCAACCCCGUCGUGCCGUUGAAACUGGCGUUCUUGAGUGAGCGAGAAGUAUGCGGAAUGCGUGGUGUAGCGGUGAAAUGCGUAGAUAUAUGGAAGAACACCAGUGGCGAAAGCGGCUCUCUGGUCUGUAACUGACGCUGAGGUUCGAAAGCGUGGGUAGCAAACAGG